rnacentral:lncRNA from 1 species
GUUUGUAUUUCUAUUCUUCAUGAGCCUAGGAAGGAUAAAUAUGGUCAUGAAAAGCCAAGGAAUACUGGCUUCCUAUCCACACUGUGGAAACCAUCAUGUUUAGUGUCAUUUUUGUUGGGAAGAACUUGAUACUGAGAACACCAUUUUGAAACAUGUCCUCCAUCACCUCAUGGUCACUCUGACUCAACUCACCUAAACUCCGGAAAAUACUCCAUCUUCAUACAAAGAAGGAAAACCAUCUGGGACUGAAAUUCUGAAAAACAUCUGGUUCGACAUGGAUCAGUUGCCACCUCAAAGAAUGGAGGUGGUGACCACAGGCCCUUUCCCUGACAACCCUCUAGCAAGGACCUAAUUCCCUCACUCCCUCACGUCCCUAAACCACCCCAGGCUGUAAGCGGAAGACAGGUCUCAGUCUCUACUGAGCCCUCUCUGCAGUUUGUCCUGAUAAACCUGUGUUACUGGUGA